UGCAACUUAACGAUGAAAUCAUUACGGAUGUAAACUAUACAAAAAUCCGAGAGCGCAUAACCCCCUGUGGAUUAUUCCGUUGCCUUCCUUCUGAACCUUCUU
rnacentral:snoRNA from 1 species